CCUACGGGUGGCUGCAGUGAGGAAUAUUGGUCAAUGGGCGCGAGCCUGAACCAGCCAAGCAGCGUGAAGGAUGACUGCCCUACGGGUUGUAAACUUCUUUUAUAAGGGAAUAAAGUGUGGCACGUGUCCCCUUUUGUAUGUACUUUAUGAAUAAGGAUCGGCUAACUCCGUGCCAGCAGCCGCGGUAAUACGGAGGAUCCGAGCGUUAUCCGGAUUUAUUGGGUUUAAAGGGAGCGUAGGUGGGUUGUUAAGUCAGUUGUGAAAGUUCGCGGCUCAACCGUAAAAUUGCAAUUGAUACUGGCAGGCUUGAGUACAGUUGAGGUAGGCGGAAUUCGUGGUGUAGCGGUGAAAUGCUUAGAUAUCGCGAAGAACUCCGAUUGCGAAGGCAGCUUACUAGACUGACACUGACAUUGAUGCUCGAAAGUGUGGGUAUCAAACAGGAUUAGAUACCCUGGUAGUC
rnacentral:rRNA from 1 species